rnacentral:rRNA from 1 species
UACAGGGGAGGCAAGCGUUGUUCGGAAUUACUGGGCGUAAAGGGCUCGUAGGUGGCCAACUAAGUCGGACGUGAAAUCCCUCAGCUUAACUGGGGAACUGCGUCCGAUACUGGAUGGCUUGAGUUUGGGAGAGGGAUGCGGAAUUCCAGGUGUAGCGGUGAAAUGCGUAGAUAUCUGGAGGAACACCGGUGGCGAAGGCGGCAUCCUGGACCAACACUGACACUGAGGAGCGAAAGCCAGGGGAGCAAACGGG